rnacentral:lncRNA from 1 species
GUUUAAUAGAUUGAAGUGGAAAUUCAAUUUAAUUGAAAAUUUAUCGUACAUAGUCAUAUAUGUAGCACCAGAGAUGUUAUACAUCUAUCUAUGGUAGCACACAGAAACGUGUCCGAUUCCUCCAAAACGCGUCAAUGUGACGUCAAUGAUUUGAUAAACAUGUCAAAUUGCAUUGGCGAAACCACUUCUGCGGGAAGCCGGUCGAGCAGUACCCUCAUAGACAUACAUUUUGUAAAAAGACAUUUAGGCAUCACCGGA